rnacentral:rRNA from 1 species
UAAGGAAUAUUGGUCAAUGGGCGGGAGCCUGAACCAGCCAUGCCGCGUGCAGGAAGACGGCCUUAUGGGUUGUAAACUGCUUUUGUCAGGGAAUAAACCUAUCUACGAGUAGAUAGCUGAAGGUACCUGAAGAAUAAGCAUCGGCUAACUCCGUGCCAGCAGCCGCGGUAAUACGGAGGAUGCAAGCGUUAUCCGGAUUCAUUGGGUUUAAAGGGUGCGCAGGCGGAUUGGUAAGUCAGUGGUGAAAUUCUAGUGCUUAACAUUAGACCUGCCAUUGAUACUGUCAGUCUAGAGUAUAGUUGGAGUGGCGGAAUGUGUCAUGUAGCGGUGAAAUGCUUAGAUAUGACACAGAACACCGAUCGCGAAGGCAGCUCACUAAGCUAAAACUGACGCUCAUGC